rnacentral:lncRNA from 1 species
ACUAUCACGUAAGGCUGCCAUGUGCUCGUCCAAAUCAAUAAUAUCAUUCAAAUGUGUUGUGAUCGAGCCAUGCAUGGGAAAGGUAAAUUAUGUUAACAGGCUAAUUAAAAAUAUAUACAGUUGAUAACAUCAACCCGGAACCCGGACCACCACGUCUGAGAACUCAUACUAAUUUAUGCUAUUUACAUUUCUAAUUUAGUGAAAUCUUGUAUUACG